rnacentral:lncRNA from 1 species
CAACUAUCCGUGGGGCCAAAGAUGCUACGAAGACACCGUACAUGUGUUCACCAGAUCGCACUCGAGGCCCAGGGAGUCGAUGCGUAAAUACGAUACAUAUGGAUUGCCGUUAGCAGUGCAAGUAAAUGUUUAAUAUAAUCAAAGUUAAAGUUUUAAUGUAUUACAUUGAUACUUAAUAAGUGUAUGUGUUGCAGAUUUGGGUGUAUGAGACAGUUCCUGUACUGGGGGCCCGCUUUGCACAGCUAGGGGAGACGCUGCCCUCGGAUGCAUCAUUGGAGAUCAUCGCGAGCGGAGGAAUGUCCCACCGGGAAGCAAUUAUCGGCCCUCCUCGACGAUCCUCAGGUAAGUAUUAUGCAUUUGUAAUUUAUAUUAUACGUAGUUUAAAAUUUUGUUUACAUGAUCGUUAAGUAGUUGAAAUGUCAAUAUGUCAGCUUGAAGUCAUACUUGAGUUGACGCCAUCGAUGGAAGAGGAGGCUCGGGGUCUUGUGCGGGAUUUAGGGGAGAUCAUCGCGAGCGGAGGGAUGUCCCACCGGGAAGCAAUUAUCGGCCCUCCUCGACGAUCCUCAGGUAAGUAUUAUGCAUUUGUAAUUUAUAUUAUACAUAGUUUAAAAUUUUGUUUACAUGAUCGUUAAAUAUUGAAAUGUCAAUAUAUCAGCUUGAAGUCAUACUUGAGUUGACGCCAUCGAUGGAAGAGGAGGCUCGGGGUCUUGUGCGGGAUUUAGGCGUUCCGCACACCCCAGACGAGGAGAUGCCUGAUCCGAGCUUGGACCGAGAUUGGGUAUGUGAAUGAAAUAUAAUUUAUUGAAUAUCAUCGACGUAUAAAUUUAUUGAAUAAUUUUUCAUUUUAUUUAUGUAGGAGGGCGGUCCAGCUGAUCGACGAUCACCUCCGCC